AAGUUGGAAGCCAAUAAGGGUAAUUAGAGGAGCUGUAUAGCAAAAGCUAUUGGGCUAUUAAGCUCUAAAUUGGGGCAAAAGAGUGUGGUUGUGAAAGACGAAAUAGAAGGAUUCAAGAAGCUUUCAUUCCCACAAAACAAAUCGUUAGUGGUUAGAGAGGAAAUUAUUAUUCAUGGGUUGGGUCUUAGUUCUUUUUCAUUCAAGAAAGUGAUUGACUUCUUGGGUUCCAAAAGAUUCAUGGGAUUGUAUUUGAUUUGCAUGGGAAUGGAUUUUCUGUUAAGUCAGGAGUAGAGGUGUCUAAGGAGAGACGAAAUGGGAUUUUGGAGAGGAUAU
rnacentral:misc_RNA from 1 species